UACGAAGGGGGCUAGCGUUGCUCGGAAUCACUGGGCGUAAAGCGCACGUAGGCGGAUUGCUAAGUCAGGGGUGAAAUCCUGGAGCUCAACUCCAGAACUGCCUUUGAUACUGGCGAUCUCGAGUCCGGAAGAGGUAAGUGGAACUCCUAGUGUAGAGGUGGAAUUCGUAGAUAUUAGGAAGAACACCAGUGGCGAAGGCGGCUUACUGGUCCGGUACUGACGCUGAGAUGCGAAAGCGUGGGGAGCAAACAGG
rnacentral:rRNA from 1 species